rnacentral:rRNA from 1 species
GAUGAACGCUCGCGAUAGGCUUAACACAUGCAAGUCGAGGGGCAGCAUGGUCUUAGCUUGCUAAGACUGAUGGCGACCGGCGCACGGGUGCGUAACGCGUAUGCAACUUGCCUCACAGAGGGGGAUAACCCGUCGAAAGACGGACUAAUACCGCGUACACUCCAUCUUGGGCAUCCAAGGUAGAGGAAAUGAAAUUCGCUGUGAGAUAGGCAUGCGUCCCAUUAGCUAGUUGGUGAGGUAACGGCUCACCAAGGCGACGAUGGGUAGGGGAACUGAGAGGUUGAACCCCCACACUGGUACUGAGACACGGACCAGACUCCUACGGGAGGCAGCAGUGAGGAAUAUUGGUCAAUGGGAGAGAGCCUGAACCAGCCAAGUCGCGUGAAGGAUGACUGUCUUAUGGAUUGUAAACUUCUUUUAGACGGGAAUAACAAGAGUCACGUGUGACUCCCUGCAUGUACCGUAUGAAUAAGCAUCGGCUAACUCCGUG